AGUAACGGCGAGUGAAGCGGCAACAGCUCAAAUUUGAAAUCUGGCGUCUUUGGCGUCCGAGUUGUAAUUUGCAGAGGGCGCUUUGGCAUUGGCAGCGGUCCAAGUUCCUUGGAACAGGACGUCACAGAGGGUGAGAAUCCCGUACGUGGUCGCUAGCCUUUACCGUGUAAAGCCCCUUCGACGAGUCGAGUUGUUUGGGAAUGCAGCUCUAAAUGGGAGGUAAAUUUCUUCUAAAGCUAAAUACUGGCCAGAGACCGAUAGCGCACAAGUAGAGUGAUCGAAAGAUGAAAAGCACUUUGGAAAGAGAGUUAAAAAGCACGUGAAAUUGUUGAAAGGGAAGCGCUUGCAGCCAGACUUGCCUGUAGUUGCUCAUCCGGGUUUUUACCCGGUGCACUCUUCUACGGGCAGGCCAGCAUCAGUUUGGGCGGUUGGAUAAAGGUCUCUGUCACGUACCUCCUCUCGGGGAGAUCUUAUAGGGGAGACGACAUGCAACCAGCCUGGACUGAGGUCCGCGCAUCUGCUAGGAUGCUGGCGUAAUGGCUGUAAGCGGCCCGUCUUGAAACACGGACCAAGGAGUCUAACAUCUAUGCGAGUGUUUGGGUGUCAAGCCCGAACGCGUAAUGAAAGUGAACGGAGGUGGGAACCUUUCGGGGUGCACCAUCGACCGAUCCUGAUGUCUUCGGAUGGAUUUGAGUAAGAGCAUAGCUGUUGGGACCCGAAAGAUGGUGAACUAUGCUUGAAUAGGGUGAAGCCAGAGGAAACUCUGGUGGAGGCUCGCAGCGGUUCUGACGUGCAAAUCGAUCGUCAAAUUUGGGCAUAGGGGCGAAAGACUAAUCGAACUAUCUAGUAGCUGGUUCCUGCCGAAGUUUCCCUCAGGAUAGCAGUAACGUUUUCAGUUUUAUGAGGUAAAGCGAAUGAUUAGAGGCCUGGGGGUUGAAACAACCUUCACCUAUUCUCAAACUUUAAAUAUGUAAGAAGUCCUUGUUACUUAAUUGAACGUGGACA
rnacentral:rRNA from 1 species